rnacentral:rRNA from 1 species
UUUCUGAUGUUAGCGGCGGACGGGUGAGUAACACGUGGAUAACCUACCUAUAAGACUGGGAUAACUUCGGGAAACCGGAGCUAAUACCGGAUAAUAUUUUGAACCGCAUGGUUCAAAAGUGAAAGACGGUCUUGCUGUCACUUAUAGAUGGAUCCGCGCUGCAUUAGCUAGUUGGUAAGGUAACGGCUUACCAAGGCAACGAUGCAUAGCCGACCUGAGAGGGUGAUCGGCCACACUGGAACUGAGACACGGUCCAGACUCCUACGGGAGGCAGCAGUAGGGAAUCUUCCGCAAUGGGCGAAAGCCUGACGGAGCAACGCCGCGUGAGUGAUGAAGGUCUUCGGAUCGUAAAACUCUGUUAUUAGGGAAGAACAUAUGUGUAAGUAACUGUGCACAUCUUGACGGUACCUAAUCAGAAAGCCACGGCUAACUACGUGCCAGCAGCCGCGGUAAUACGUAGGUGGCAAGCGUUAUCCGGAAUUAUUGGGCGUAAAGCGCGCGUAGGCGGUUUUUUAAGUCUGAUGUGAAAGCCCACGGCUCAACCGUGGAGGGUCAUUGGAAACUGGAAAACUUGAGUGCAGAAGAGGAAAGUGGAAUUCCAUGUGUAGCGGUGAAAUGCGCAGAGAUAUGGAGGAACACCAGUGGCGAAGGCGACUUUCUGGUCUGUAACUGACGCUGAUGUGCGAAAGCGUGGGGAUCAAACAGGAUUAGAUACCCUGGUAGUCCACGCCGUAAACGAUGAGUGCUAAGUGUUAGGGGGUUUCCGCCCCUUAGUGCUGCAGCUAACGCAUUAAGCACUCCGCCUGGGGAGUACGACCGCAAGGUUGAAACUCAAAGGAAUUGACGGGGACCCGCACAAGCGGUGGAGCAUGUGGUUUAAUUCGAAGCAACGCGAAGAACCUUACCAAAUCUUGACAUCCUUUGACAACUCUAGAGAUAGAGCCUUCCCCUUCGGGGGACAAAGUGACAGGUGGUGCAUGGUUGUCGUCAGCUCGUGUCGUGAGAUGUUGGGUUAAGUCCCGCAACGAGCGCAACCCUUAAGCUUAGUUGCCAUCAUUAAGUUGGGCACUCUAAGUUGACUGCCGGUGACAAACCGGAGGAAGGUGGGGAUGACGUCAAAUCAUCAUGCCCCUUAUGAUUUGGGCUACACACGUGCUACAAUGGACA